rnacentral:rRNA from 1 species
UUAGGUUGAUAUUCCUGUACCACUACCAUCGUUAUUAUCGAGGGUGUGACGGAGAAGGAUAGUGUGUGCUAGCGAUUGGAAAUGCUAGUCUAAGCGUUUAGGCAGUUACGGUAGGCAAAUCCGCUGUAACGUUAAUGCUGAGGCGUGAUGGGGAAGGCCCUUGAGGCUGAAGUACAUGAUUCCAUGCUUCCAAGAAAAGCAUCUAGAGAGAGAAGUAGUGCCCGUACCGCAAACCGACACAGGUAGAUGAGGAGAGAAUCCUAAGGCCGGCGGAAGAAUUGCAGUUAAGGAACUAGGCAAAUUGACCCCGUAAGUUAGCGAGAAGGGGUGCCUGCGAGAGCAGGCCGCAGAGAAUAGGCCCAAGCAACUGUUUAGCAAAAACACAGGUCUCUGCUAAAGCGCAAGCUGAUGUAUAGGGGCUGACGCCUGCCCGGUGCUGGAAGGUUAAGGGGAACACUUAGCGCAAGCGAAGGUGUGAACUUAAGCCCCAGUAAACGGCGGCCGUAACUAUAACGGUCCUAAGGUAGCGAAAUUCCUUGUAAGGUAAGUUCUGACCCGCACGAAUGGCGUAAUGACUUGGGCACUGUCUCAACUGCAAAUCCGGCGAAGUUGUAGUGCGAGUGAAGAUGCUCGCUACCCGCGAUUGGACGGAAAGACCCCGUAGAGCUUUACUGUAGCUUAGCAUUGAAUUCCGGUAUUGUCUGUACAGGAUAGGUGGGAGACUGGGAAACUAGGGCGUCAGCCUUGGUGGAGUCGUCCUUGGGAUACCACCCUGACAGUACUGGGGUUCUAACAGGACGCCAUGAAUCUGGUGACUGGACAUUGUUAGGUAGGCAGUUUGACUGGGGCGGUCGCCUCCUAAAAAGUAACGGAGGCGCCCAAAGGUUCCCUCAGAACGGUCGGAAAUCGUUCGUAGAGUGCAAAGGCAGAAGGGAGCCUGACUGCGAGACCUACAAGUCGAGCAGGGACGAAAGUCGGGCUUAGUGAUCCGGUGGUACCUCGUGGGAGGGCCAUCGCUCAACGGAUAAAAGCUACCUCGGGGAUAACAGGCUGAUCUCCCCCAAGAGUCCACAUCGACGGGGAGGUUUGGCACCUCGAUGUCGGCUCGUCGCAUCCUGGGGCUGUAGUAGGUCCCAAGGGUUGGGCUGUUCGCCCAUUAAAGCGGCACGCGAGCCGGGUUCAGAACGUCGUGAGACAGUUCGGUCCCUAUCCGUCGCGGGCGUAGGAAAUUUGAGAGGAGCUGUCCUUAGUACGAGAGGACCGGGAUGGACUGACCUCUGGUGCACCAGUUGUUCUGCCAAGAGCAUGGCUGGGUAGCUAAGUCGGGAAGGGAUAAACGCUGAAAGCAUCUAAGCGUGAAGCCUCCCUCAAGAUGAGAUUUCCCAUAGCAUAAGCUAGUAAGACCCCUUGAAGAACACGAGGUUGAUAGGUCAGAGGUGUAAGUGUGGUAACAUAUUUAGCUGACUGAUACUAAUAGGUCGAGGGCUUGACCU